CUGGCUCAGGACAAACGCUGGCGGCGUGCCUAACACAUGCAAGUCGAACGGGGUAUUGAAAGCUUGCUUUGGAUAACUUAGUGGCGGACGGGUGAGUAACGCGUGAGCAAUCUGCCUUUCAGAGGGGGAUAACGUCUGGAAACGGACGCUAAUACCGCAUAAAACAGCAAGACGGCAUCGUCUAACUGUCAAAGGAGCAAUCCGCUGAAAGAUGAGCUCGCGUCUGAUUAGAUAGUUGGUGAGGUAAUGGCCCACCAAGUCUGCGAUCAGUAGCCGGACUGAGAGGUUGAACGGCCACAUUGGGACUGAGAGACGGCCCAGACUCCUACGGGAGGCAGCAGUGGGGAGUAUUGCGCAAUGGGGGGAAAAACCCCUGACGCAGCAACGCCGCGUGAAGGAAGAAGGUCUUCGGAUCGUAAACUUUUGUCUUCGGGGACGGUAAUGACGGUACCCGAGGAGGAAGCCACGGCUAACUACGUGCCAGCAGCUGC
rnacentral:rRNA from 1 species